ensembl:lncRNA CBR3-AS1 CBR3 antisense RNA 1
GAGGCUGAGACAGGAGAAUCGCUUGAACCUGGGAGGCGGAGACUACAGUGAGCCGAAAUUGUGCCACUGUACUCUAGCCUGGAUGACAGAGCGAGACUCUGUCUCAAAAAAAAAAAAAAAAAAAGAAAAGAAAAAAAAAGAAAAGAAAAUUUCUUUUGGGUUUUCUGAAUCAACUUGAGAAAGUAUGGUAUAAGAAGAAAGGAAUAUAGGAAAAGUUGUAAUGCUAAAACAGAUACCAAGGUCCAGAGAUGAGCUAGAUGUGGGCCCAUCACCUUGGAGGGCUGGAGGACUCAUGAGAUUGACCAGAGGCAAGCGGCCUUUGGGGACUCACAGCAUUCUAUCAUUCUAGGAUUGAGUUCAUGACAUGGAUCCCAAAAGCAUUGUGAUAUGUCACACUUAUCUUUGGAACUUAAAGCUAAGGCGUGAGCCAUCGCACCUGGCCUGAGUUUGCAUUUCUAGGUUCCCAGAUGAUGUGACAGCUACUGGUCUCCAGCCACACCUUGAGAACACUUGGCUUUGACUACCACUUCUUAAACUUAAAGGAAAACUAGACAAUCCACCAGCCCAGGAGGGGACAAGCAGGCUUAUUCCUCCUCCUCGUCAUCUCUGGCUCCAGCCCCACCCUGGCCCUUGCUGGCAUUCUUCCUCUUCACGUGGCUGGGGUUGGCCACCCCAAUAGGGAAGCAGAGGGAGAAGUCAAUGUGCUUCUGGGAAUCCAGGCGGACAGUGAAGAACAGGAUAUUUACCACCUGCUCACGGACACGGAUAUGACACUGUUGAAUCAGCACAUGAGCGUGGCGGAUGGACUUAGCCAA